GCUGGGCACGGGCUGCUUAUAUGUUGUACGCCUUGGGCGUCCCUGUGCUGGUGAUGAGCGUGAUGGCCGUGCAUUGACCUGCAUCGCCUGUCCCAACUGUGCCGGCCAUGCGUCCGACGACCUCGUCCAUCCCUGAUCACCUCUUCCGCGCAAUCAGGCGCACAUACACAGACAUGCCUGUACUAUAUUAUACUUGAACUUCAGAGCUUCUGAACUCUCUGAAUCUGUGUGCAUGUUUUUAUAUUGUGUCAUUGCAUAGCUCCACCACUGAAUUUGGAAAUUCAGUCAAUGCUUAAACUUGAUAAAAAAGAGCAAGAAACAGUGACAUAUUAUGUGUGUUUUUCACGGAAGUGAGCUGAGAAUUUAGAUGUUCCUUUUCAUAAUAUUAAGGGCAUCGAUCAUUCAACUAUUUAUGUUAUCCUUCAUGCUCUGACUUGAGUGAAGUUAUGUGAACUAGCAUAGUAUAUUGUAAUUUUCUGAUUUUGAGUCGUGGCAUAUAGUCCUCACACAAAGUAGUUGCAAAAUAUAUUGAAGUAUAUUAUGCACAUAGUUAUCCUCCCUAAUGCCUAAACUGGUACAUUUUCAAUCUUUUUGCUGACUACUAAACAUAAUUAUUGUAGGUCUUCCCUGACCCAUGGUCACGUGAAAGCGACGCUGCUCCGACAAGCUCCUCCGUCCCCCGAGCACAGUGCUGUCCAUGAUGGUCUCCUCCCUCCUGUUCCCUCAGCGAGGAUGAUGUCACCUUUUUGCGAAACAUAAAGUUAUGUAGUUCUUCAGUAUAUGUCCAUAGAAACCUAUGACAAUUUCUUCAGUAGCAGUUCAACAAAAAAUCCUGUUGUAGUUCUUGAGUAUUGUUCCAUUAGAAUUUCAUGUUAUCUAAGUAUUUUUAGUACUUGCUAUUGCAGAUAAGUGUUUGUUAGAAUUGUCAUUCUGUCAGUAAAGUACCAUUCUUUAGUAUAUGUUCUGAAAAUUUCAUCUUUUGUGUGCCUGGUGUGAAUUGUUGGUCUUCUCUCACUUUUGCUCCUGAAUUAGAGGUAGCAUGUUGAUUUUCGCACUUGAUGAAGAACAUAUCCUAAAAUGUGAAAAA
rnacentral:lncRNA from 1 species